ensembl:lncRNA
CCAGGAGUUGUUUGGAAGUGAAAGACCAGGAAUGAGAGCUGUAGCUUCACAAAGCUCUAAUCUCUUGGAGGAGAAAAUGCAGGUGAGAAAACCUGCGUUAAGGGAUUUAAGUGCUCUGAGAUGGGAUUCAGGUCCUCUGGAAUCUACAGUCAUCAUUUGCUUUAGUGCUUCUCCCAGCUGGAAAACCAAGGAUGAUGUUUUUCAGCACUUCAGAAUGAAGUUGUGUUUACUGUAGUGCUUUGAGUAAUAGUGAGAGCAUGUGUUGAAGGACCCUACUUGUUUAACAACAAAAUUCGGAUUUCAUUCCGCUGGGUCCCUAUUCUUCUUUCUCAAGUGAAAUGCUGUCUGCAUUGAUAACAGCUUUCAUUGGAUGAAGUUCACAGUAUGCAGAGGAUUUUUCACUACCUAAGUGAUACUGACACUAAUACAUGAAGGAUCAAAAGUCUGCCCUGUGUGCCUCCAGCACUGUAGAGGAAUGGAGUUCAGAAGCUGGCAUUUGGAAAAAAACUGAAACUAGCCAAGGUUAAUCUCUUUGGAAUAUUUAUUCCCACAUCACCUUUUGGCAGAAGAUACCUUCUGUGUUCCAGAUCCAGUAUCAAGAAUCUCUUGCAUAAAAAUGUAUUUUCCAUAUGUCAGAAAAAAUUGUCCUCUUCCCUAGCAACAUGCAAUUAGCCUCAUAUUUUAAACCAUCAUCCAGAACUGAGAGGAUUUCUAUCCUUGGCUUGAAAGGAUCGAAGCCCACAUUUUUCACUUUCUGGUUAUAUCUCCGCUGUGGGCAGAGAACUCACUUGCAGGGAACAAGAACUAGAUUGCUGCCACUCAUCUCCUCAAGGACCUAUGGGGAAGGGCUAACCCUACAGGGAUUGCUUGAGAGCAGGGGAGACAGUUUGUUGUCAAGAGAUUUGUCUUUCAGUUCAUUUUGGCUGGAGAACAGGAUUGAUAUGCACAGGUGAGGGCAGUGGCAGCCUGGAGCACAGCGCUCUGCCAUCUGCCCACUCAGCCCCCAAUAUAACUUACCAUCCCUGUGGCAU